UACGGAGGGUGCAAGCGUUAUCCGGAUUCACUGGGUUUAAAGGGUGCGUAGGCGGAAUUGUAAGUCAGUGGUGAAAGCCCUUCGCUUAACGAAGGAACUGCCAUUGAUACUGCAAAUCUUGAGUACAUUUGAUGUGGGGCGGAAUGUGUCAUGUAGCGGUGAAAAUGCUUAGAUAUGACACAGAAACACCGAUUGCGAAGGCAGCUCACAAAAACUGUAAC
rnacentral:rRNA from 1 species